GUGUGUAGGCGGUGCUCUAAGUUUGGUGUGAAAUCUCCCGGCUUAACUGGGAGGGUGCGCCGAAAACUGGAAUGCUUGAACAUGGGAGAGGAAAGCGGAAUUCCUGGUGUAGCGGUGAAAUGCGUAGAUAUCAGGAGGAACACCUGCGGUGUAGACGGCUUUCUGGACCAUUGUUGACGCUGAGACACGAAAGCGUGGGUAGCAACCAGGAUUAGAUACCCUGGUAGUCCACGCCCUAAACGAUGCAUACUUGGUGUCGGCCAUUCAGUUGGUCGGUGCCGGAGCUAACGCGUUAAGUAUGCCGCCUGGGGAGUACGUUCGCAAGGAUGAAACUCAAAGGAAUUGACGGGGGCCCGCACAAGCGGUGGAGCAUGUGGUUUAAUUCGACGCAACGCGAAGAACCUUACCUGGGCUCGAAAUGCUGCAGACUGCCGGUGGAAACACUGGCUUUCCCGCAAGGGACUGUAGUAUAGGUGCUGCAUGGCUGUCGUCAGCUCGUGUCGUGAGAUGUUGGGUUAAGUCCCGCAACGAGCGCAACCCUUGUCCUGUGUU
rnacentral:rRNA from 1 species